rnacentral:lncRNA from 1 species
CUCCUUCCCGCUAAUCCGACCAUCCCCAUCCGCAUCGGCUCUCUGAAAAUAUUCCUCGAAUUUGUCCGUAAUCAGCUUCUUCACCGCCAUUCUCCCUCACAGAAAAUUCAAUCUGUUUAACAAGACGAAUCACUUUGAGUUUGCAGAUCGAAAACGAUCGAGAAGCAUUCUGCAGAAGAUGACUGGAAUUUAGGGUUCCUAGUCCUCUUCACCAUCAAUCGCCAGCAAGCAGAGGUCAAACUGAGAAAGGUUCUUUUUUUUUUUUUUUAAAUGGAAGAGUUGAUCGGCC